rnacentral:rRNA from 1 species
UACGUAGGGGGCAAGCGUUGUCCGGAUUUAUUGGGCGUAAAGAGCUCGUAGGCGGUUUGUCGCGUCUGCCGUGAAAGUCCGGGGCUCAACUCCGGAUCUGCGGUGGGUACGGGCAGACUAGAGUGAUGUAGGGGAGACUGGAAUUCCUGGUGUAGCGGUGAAAUGCGCAGAUAUCAGGAGGAACACCGGUGGCGAAGGCGGGUCUCUGGGCAGUAACUGACGCUGAGGAGCGAAAGCGUGGGGAGCGAACAGG